rnacentral:rRNA from 1 species
AAGGAACGCUGGCAGCGUGCAUAACACAUGCAAGUCGAACGGUAGUAUUAUCUUCGGAUAAUAUGAGAGUGGCGAACGGGUGAGUAACACGUAAGAAUCUACCUUUAGGACGGGGAUAACUUCUGGAAACGGAUGCUAAUACCCGAUAUGCUGUGGAGUGAAAUGAAUUUCGCCUAAAGAUGAUCUUGCGUCUGAUUAGCUAGAUAGGGUGGUAAUGGCGCCCUAUGGCGACGAUCAGUAGCUGGUCUGAGAGGAUGGACAGCCACAUUGGGACUGAGACACGGCCCAAACUCCUACGGGAGGCAGCAGUGGGGAAUUUUCCGCAAUGGGCGAAAGCCUGACGGAGCGACGCUGCGUGAAGGAUGACGGCCUGAGGGUUGUAAACUUCUUUUCUCGAAGAAGAAUCAAUGACGGUAUUCGAGGAAUAAGCAUCGGCUAACUCUGUG